rnacentral:misc_RNA from 1 species
AGAUUGUUUCACCUGUUUUUGUGACCUCUGUUUCUCUGUUCGUCAUGGCCUCACCCACCUAUGAGUCUAUGUUGCUUGUGGUUGUUUUGAAUCCUAGAUUGCCUUGUUUAUCAUUGUAAACGAUUGUAUGAGUCUCUCUAAUCGACUUUGAUCUGUAGAGCUUUAUUUCUCUUUUGAUUCUUAAAUUUUCCAGUGAUGGCGUAAGGAGCUACGGCAGUAAUAGUGNGUAUAUUGAAGAUAUUUUACUUUUUAUUUGUUCUUUCUUUAACCAGGGUGAGAGAUGGGAA